rnacentral:rRNA from 1 species
AAGGAUCAUUACUGAUUUGCUUAAUUGCACCACAUGUGUCUUUUUUAUGAUAUACAUUUCUUUGGCAGCGAGUCUGACUUACUGCCAGAGGUUAUAAACUAAACCAAACUUUUUAUUUAUUCAGUCAACAACGAUUAUUUAUAAUAGUCAAAACUUUCAACAACGGAUCUCUUGGUUCUCGCAUCGAUGAAGAACGCAGCGAAAUGCGAUACGUAAUAUGAAUUGCAGAUAUUCGUGAAUCAUCGAAUCUUUGAACGCACAUUGCGCCCUUUGGUAUUCCAAAGGGCAUGCCUGUUUGAGCGUCAUUUCUCCCUCAAACCCUUGGGUUUGGUGUUGAGCAAUACGCUAGGUUUGUUUGAAAGAUGUAAUGUGGAAACUUAUUAGCGACUUAGGUUUAUCCAAAAAAAAAACGCUUUUGUUUAGUGACCACCACAACUUUUUUAACUUUUGACCUCAAAUCAGGUAGGACUACCCGCUGAACUUAAGCAUAUCAA